rnacentral:rRNA from 1 species
UACGUAGGUGGCAAGCGUUGUCCGGAAUUAUUGGGCGUAAAGCGCGCGCAGGCGGUCCUUUAAGUCUGAUGUGAAAGCCCACGGCUCAACCGUGGAAGGUCAUUGGAAACUGGAGGACUUGAGUACAGAAGAGGAAAGCGGAAUUCCACGUGUAGCGGUGAAAUGCGUAGAGAUGUGGAGGAACACCGGUGGCGAAGGCGGCUUCUGGCGAUAACUGACGCUGAGUGCGAGACGUGGGGAGCAAACAGGAUUAGAACUACCGAGUCAGACCAAGAUCCA